UACAGAGGUCCCAAGCGUUGUUCGGAUUCACUGGGCGUAAAGGGUGCGUAGGCGGGUUUUUAAGUCAGGGGUGAAAUCCUGGAGCUCAACUCCAGAACUGCCUUUGAUACUGGCGAUCUCGAGUCCGGGAGAGGUGAGUGGAACUGCGAGUGUAGAGGUGAAAUUCGUAGAUAUUCGCAAGAACACCAGUGGCGAAGGCGGCUCACUGGCCCGGUACUGACGCUGAGGUGCGAAAGCGUGGGGAGCAAACAGG
rnacentral:rRNA from 1 species